rnacentral:snRNA from 1 species
AUACAUACCUGGUAGGGGCGACUCCAUGAGCCAGGUGGAUCGCCUAGAGUGAGGAUCAGCCAUUGCACUCCAGCUUUUCUGACCUCUAUGAAUUCUCCACAUGUGAGAAUAUCAACUGCAUAAUUUUUUACAAGUGGGGACUGCAUUCGCGCUCUGCCUGA